CUGUGCAUUUAUAGACCAUUUCCCCUCUUUUGAUGUGCCUCCCACAGUGAUCUUCUACCCUGCCCCACGGCAAGAAGAGUUUGGUGAUUUUGCUGCUCUGCUCUCUCAAGGGUGUUGCAGGCUGCGUAGCAGGGAGUGAAGCCCUUGUCGCUGCUCAUCAGACACUUUCCUACAGAAUUCUCCCUGCAGUGAUAAAAUUAGACUGGUGUUAGUGAGCUGCCAAGUAGAGCAGGACAGCACGAAGACUGAACGUGUAAGAAGAUGUGGGGUGCAAUGGAGAACCUGGCAGGAGCAUCCGACGCACACGUGCACGAGUUUUGCUUUUUGCUUGGAUUGAAACUCAAAAGUUGUAAGGAAUUUGGGAAUGAGAUGGGACGUUUCAGAAGAAGAGGAAGGAGGAGAAGAAGUUGUUGUUACAGUCCUGGCAAAAUCCUUUGUUCUAGCUAAUAAAAGAAGUUA